UACAACAGUCCAGGCAAAAACGUUAACUUUAGAGGGAGUUUUAGUCUUCCACAGCAGCUAAAAUUAUUAGUAAGAUGGGAAACAAGGUACUUGCAAAUGUACACACUUGAAGAAUCUAAGUCCCAAUCUGAUAUUGGGUUGUAGAGAGAAAAUAAAUGACCAUAUGAUAUUAAGUAAAGAGAGCAUUUCAUAUGAUUCUUGAUUAUGUAGAGAGUAAAAGCUCAAAGAUAUUAAGCAAAGAAGAUAAAUUUCGAGAGGUAUGUUCAUUAAUGGAGGACCACAUAGGAGCAUUUUGGCACAAUUAAGAUUAAAGGCAUUGAAAAAGGGCCAGAAAGUGGAGGAUUAUGAAUCCAAAUAUAUCUGACACUCGCACUGGCACCACUUUAAGGGGCUUUCUUACUUGUGUGGUCAGGUCAAGGCUUGAAAGAGAUUAAAUAUUGGACAAUGCAUGUCUAUGUAACUGAGCAUGACAGGUGUCAUCAUUUGUCAUAUUUUAAGACUAUAGUAUCUUCCUGUUAUUUCAUAAAACUUUGGCCUAUUUCAUACCUUUAAACAAGGAAAAAGAAAAAUUGAUAAGGGAAGCCCCUUCAUCAUAUACACUUGGUAGAUUUUCCUGGUUUUGCUAAAAUAUACAUUUAUAUGCAUAGGAAGCUUUUAAAUUUGUCCCGUCCGAUUGUUACAUUAAGCAUAUCUUUUACUUCAUCACCAGCAGAAGUUUCAAUUUUUUUUCCUGAAAUUGUAUUUUCUUUUCUUUUAAAUGUGAAAUAUAAUGGAAAAAUAGAAAUAGGAAUGUUGAUUUGAUAGGGUUGCAGCUUUUUUUUCUUUUUUCUUUUUUUUUUUGUAAUGAUAGGGCAGCAGUUAAGUCAGAAAAUAUUGUGGCUCUACUGCUCAAGAUGACAACCAUCUUAUUUCUUGGUGUGAAGAACUUUUGCAAAUCUUCCAAUUUAUCCCUGAACUAAACCAAAAUGUCUCAUGUGAUAAGGUUAGAAGAGGAGUUUUUUUAAGGGAGAGAUAUUUUUAGAAAGAGAGAAAGCUCUUAUGAGCAAGACUGAGAGGAUUCUUUUGCAAAGUAGAUAACGGGAUCGUUGGAAUAUGCCCCUGGCCAAAGAGAAGCACAGAAGACUCAUUCGGUGCAAUUAGCAAACCAGAAUCAGCUUGGUGAUCAUUAUGCCUCGAAACAUCCGAAGGAAAAACCGCCUACUGACUCAAGUUAGUCUGUUUCUCAUCAAUGUAAAAAGAUGCAAGGAGUACAAAGAUCCUAAAACAGGAAAAACUUAUUAAAUAUUUCAAGUGUCUCAACAGCUUUGUUGCCUAAGUUUAUUACUGACGAAUGUGAUGAUGAUAAUGACUAGCUGGUUAAUGCAUUUCAAGUUUAAUCCAACUGAAUGGUGUAUUAUUAAUAAAUGGCUGCAGCACCGCAUGCUUUCAGUUGCAAACAUGUGAUUCAAGUGACGAUUUGGUGUUGCUUGAAUUUUGUAGGGCUGGAAUGUAAUGGUGAUGGCGGUGACAAAUUUUUUUAUCCUCCUGAGAAAACAACCUUCUUAGAUGACUGAACUUAGCCAUGUUCGAAUAAUAUCAAGUGCCUCUGGUUUUCCACUAGACAUGAUUCCAAUUCUAUGUUCUCUUCGUUGGUAGAGACAGAACUACUUCACUUGCAACCACCCUUCCACUGUGGGGAAAAAAAGAUAUAUACAACAGAGAUACUAAGACCAAAAAGGGAGCAAACACAAACACAAACACUCCGAGAGAGAUAGGGGAGAGAUA